rnacentral:rRNA from 1 species
GGGGAAUUUUCCGCAAUGGGCGCAAGCCUGACGGAGCAAGACCGCGUGCGGGAGGACGGCCUAUUGGUUGUAAACCGCUUUUGAUAGGGAAGAAGCUCUGACGGUACCUAUCGAAUCAGCAUCGGCUAACUCCGUGCCAGCAGCCGCGGACAUACGGAGGACGCAAGCGUUAUCCGGACUUAUUGGUCGUAAAGCGACCGUAGGUGGUUGCUCAAGUCUGCUCUUAAAGCGGCCGGCUUAACCGCAGA